rnacentral:snRNA from 1 species
AUCGCUUCUCGGCCUUUUGGCUAAGAUCGAGUGUAGUACCUGUUCUCGUCAGCUUAAAAAAACAGAGAUGAUGUCAUACUCAGGGCCCUAACCCAAUGACUGCUGUUCUAAUCAGAAGAAGAAAAUUUGGACACAGACGCACC